GGAAUAGCCCGGAGAAAUCCGGAUUAAUACCCCAUAACCCAGUGAAGAGGCAUCUCUUUUCUGGUAAACCUCCGGGGGUUAAGGAUGGGCAUGCGUCCGAUUAGUUAGUUGGCGAGGUAACAGCUCACCAAGACCGCAAUCGGUAGGGGGUCUGAGAGGAUGAUCCCCCACACGGGUACUGAGACACGGACCCGACUCCUACGGGAGGCAGCAGUAAGGAAUAUUGGACAAUGGCCUCACGGCUGAUCCAGCCAUGCCGCGUGAAGGAUGAAGGCGCUAUGCGUUGUAAACUUCUUUUGUACGGGAAAAAACUUCCGGUUUCGUACCGGAACUGAUGGUACCGUAAGAAUAAGCAUCGGCUAACUCCGUGCCAGCAGCCGCGGUAAUACGGAGGAUGCAAGCGUUAUCCGGAUUCACUGGGUUUAAAGGGUCCGUAGGCGGACGAGUAAGUCAGUGGUGAAAUCCUGCAGCUUAACUGCGGAACUGCCAUUGAUACUGCUCGUCUUGAGUUCGGUUGAAGUGGGCGGAAUGUGCGGUGUAGCGGUGAAAUGCAUAGAUAUCGCACAGAACACCAAUUGCGAAGGCAGCUCACUAAACCGUUACUGACGCUGAGGGACGAAAGCGUGGGGAUCAAACAGGAUUAGAUACCCUGGUAGUCCACGCCUUAAACGAUGAACACUCGAUGUUGGCGAUACACCGUUCAGCGUCCAAGCAAAAGCGUUAAGUGUUCCACCUGGGGAGUACGAUCGCAAGAUUGAAACUCAAAGGAAUUGACGGGGGCCCGCACAAGCGGAGGAGCAUGUGGUUUAAUUCGAUGGUACGCGAGGAACCUUACCUGGGCUUGAAAGUUAGUGGCGAAUCCCGAAAGGGGUUCUUCCCGCAAGGGACACAAAACUAGGUGCUGCAUGGCUGUCGUCAGCUCGUGCCGUGAGGUGUUAGGUUAAGUCCUGCAACGAGCGCAACCCCUAUCUCCAGUUGCCAGCGAGUUAUGUCGGGGACUCUGGAGAAACUGCCUGCGCAAGCAGAGAGGAAGGUGGGGAUGACGUCAAGUCAGCACGGCCCUUAUGUCCAGGGCUACACACGUGCUACAAUGGUCGGUACAAAGGGUCGCAACACGGUGACGUGA
rnacentral:rRNA from 1 species